GCAAGUCGAGGGGUAACAGGGGAGCUUGCUCUCGCUGACGACCGGCGCACGGGUGCGUAACGCGUAUGCAAUCUACCUUAUACUGGAGAAUAGCCCAGAGAAAUUUGGAUUAAUGCUCCAUAAUAUAUUUUAUUCGCAUGGAUUAAAUAUUAAAGGUUACGGUAUAAGAUGAGCAUGCGUCCUAUUAGCUAGAUGGUGUGGUAACGGCAUACCAUGGCAACGAUAGGUAGGGGCCCUGAGAGGGGGAUC
rnacentral:rRNA from 1 species